ACUCAAAUGAAUAGACGGGGGCCCGCACAAGCAGUGGAGUAUGUGGUUUAAUUCGAAGCAACGCGAAGAACCUUACCAGGGCUUGACAUACACAGGAAUAACUGAGAGAUCAGUUAGCCCUUCGGGGCCUGUGAACAGGUGGUGCAUGGUUGUCGUCAGCUCGUGUCGUGAGAUGUUGGGUUAAGUCCCGCAACGAGCGCAACCCCUAUUGUUAGUUGCCAUCAUUCAGUUGGGCACUCUAGCGAGACUGCCGGUGAUAAAUCGGAGGAAGGUGGGGACGACGUCAAAUCAUCAUGCCCCUUAUGUCCUGGGCUACACACGUACUACAAUGGCUAUUACAGAGGGAUGCAAGACCGUAAGGUGGAGCCAAACCCUAAAAAUAGUCCCAGUUCAGAUUGUGGGCUGAAACCCGCCCACAUGAAGUCGGAAUUGCUAGUAAUGGCAGGUCAGCAUACUGCCGUGAAUACGUUCCCGGGCCUUGCACACACCGCCCGU
rnacentral:rRNA from 1 species